GACGAACGCUGGCGGCGUGCUUAACACAUGCAAGUCGAACGGAAAGGCCCUGCUUUUGUGGGGUGCUCGAGUGGCGAACGGGUGAGUAACACGUGAGUAACCUGCCCCUGACUUUGUGAUAACUUCAGGAAACUGCGGCUAUUAUCGGAUAGGAGCUCCUGCUGCAUGGUGGGGGUUGGAAAGAUUCGGCGGUUGGGGAUGGACUCGAGGCUUAUGAGCUUGUUGGUGGGGUAGUGGUUUACCAAGGCUUUGACGGGUAGCCCGCCUGAGAGGGUGACCGGCCACAUUGGGACUGAGGUACGGACCAGACUGCUACGGGAGGCAGCAGUGGAGAAAAUUGCGCAAUAGGCGGAAGCCUGAUGCAGAAACGCCGCGUGCGUAAUAACGGCUUUCGGGUUGUAAACCGCUUUCGACUGUGACGAGGCGUGAGUGACGGUAAUGGGUAAAGAAGCACCGGCUAACUACGUG
rnacentral:rRNA from 1 species